UCCCACCACCCCACUCCAACCCACCCCAAAAGGCCUCCCUUUACCAGAGAGGUUCUUGCAGAGAGGGAGCCCUCCCAGCUUCUUGAAUGCUCUCUCUUUCUGCCAAAUGUGUAAAGGGAACUCCUGAUCUGUGCAGAUAUAUAUACUGCAAUAUAUACUAAAUAUAUAUAUAUAUAUGUAUAUGUGUAUGUAUAUAUAUAUAUAUAUAAAAAAAACAGUCCCAGAAGGUCUUUCAUUCUGGGUUUGGUGUUUCCAGCUACGGUUAGGAAUCUUGGCUUCUGGUGGAGAUGGGAAAGUGAUCCCUGUUUAGAAGCAGUCCAAAUUUUUGUAGCCUGUGGGGGUGAGGCGAGGGGUGGGGUGGGCAGAUAGGAUACACCAUAAAACCAGGUUUUAAAAUUUUCACUCGGGGGGGGGGGUAACGGGGUGCCGAUGGGCCUCGUUGCAAUGAGGAACAACUGCACAGCCUCUUUUAACUCUUUUUUUUUUUUAAAUUUUUGCUGUAGCAUCUUGUUUCUUGUGCCACCUCUUUGGUGAAAGCCGCUCCCCUCUUUCCUGCCCUCAUGUGGGGCAUCCGGAAAAUGGAGCUAGCGAUUCAAUGGCAAAGUAAAAACUUUUCUGUGGUUUACUCCACUUUUGACAGAAAAAGGGAGUGGGAAGGGACCUCGGAGGUCUUCUAGUCCAACCCCCUGCUCAAGCAGGAAAUGGAGUUACAGCUGCAAGGCCUCACAGCCAUCCUGGGGGAGUUGUUUAUUCGUCUUGCAGAAAAGUUACACAGGAUUUAAGACGGGGAGAAUGUUCAGAAGUCACAGUCAUGGAUCCAAGUUGGAAUGGAAACUAUAAAAUGGCACAGGAUUUGGAUGAUUUACGUCGGAUUCCAUCACUUUGGAGAGAGAGAGAGAGAAAUGUGCCUUGUGGAUGGACCCCCCUAAAAUGGAGUCCACAGGAAUGAAUAUGGAGGUUUUGCUAGAGGCUGGCAGGUGGAAUGAGAGAGGCUCACCUGGAAAUGGAAAAGUCUGAGUAAGAGCCUUAGUUGGAAGUAAGAGGUGUGUGUGUCUCAGAGGUCUUAAAAUCCCCCCCCCUCUUAAAAUUUGUGAACCUUGACAAGAAAAGAACCUGCUUUAAAUUAAAUUGACUCUUUAAAAAGAGGGGGCUCUCCAGGCUGCGUGUCAGGUCUGGGUCCUUCCUGUUUUAAUAGCCACAUCACGUUUCUGGGGCCAUUUUUUACAAAGUGUUUGUAAUUGUUCUGUGUAAUUGUUCUACAGGGAGUCAGGAAACGGAAGGCCUUGCCAAGUGUCCCUGUUUAAAGCAGGAGAGAAAAUCAUGGAAUUUUUUUUUUAUUACUUUCAUAAGAGACUGAAUGAGCCUUAGAUAUUUCUUCUAAGUAAAUUUUUAAUGACGUUGGAUUUUCAAAUGUUACCGGUUAUAGUGUUUGAUGUACGUAUGUAUUUAUAGACUCUGAGGAACUUAGUAGUUGGAGAAGAGGAAUAUUGCAUUCCAUUUAGCAAGAGCUAUUUUUGAAUGUAUUUUAUUGACUGUAACAAUAUACGGUGUAUUUAAAAUUAGUAAAUUAAUGUUACGGACAAUGCUGGAUACUUUCCAUAACUAUUAAUUUAGAAACAGAUUAAACCUAAUUUUAAUUUUUAUAUGAUCACAUAACAAUAUAAUGUGGUAGAUACGUCAGGGUUUUUUUUUAAAAAAAGAGAUUACAGUAGUUCAGGGUAAAUAACAUUGCUAACUUCUGUGGCCGAAGGUGUCACAAUUUCAUUUCUGUUUUGUUUUUACUUUUCAAGUUCUCAUUCCAGAAAAAAAAAAAAUGUAUGACUUGAAGCAAGAAUUAAUUGUAGCGGAUUCAAAGCCUGCUGUUUAAGCCAAAUUUUAAAAAUAAAAAACCAGCUUUCUUAAAUUUGUGCCUUAGCAGAAUUCAGUAUUUUGUGGUGCUAAUAGUGAAAUCUAUUUUUUCUUUCUUUCCUAGCAUGAUUACAUCUGAAUUUUAAGCACUUUCUUUGGACACAAUUUCUGUCUUUGGUUCACAUAUAUAUUGCACUUGAUACAAUAAAUAUUUUUUUAAG
rnacentral:lncRNA from 1 species